rnacentral:rRNA from 1 species
UUAAAUUGAAGAGUUUGAUCAUGGCUCAGAUUGAACGCUGGCGGCAGGCCUAACACAUGCAAGUCGAACGGUAACAGGAAGCAGCUUGCUGCUUCGCUGACGAGUGGCGGACGGGUGAGUAAUGUCUGGGAAGCUGCCUGAUGGAGGGGGAUAACUACUGGAAACGGUGGCUAAUACCGCAUAACGUCGCAAGACCAAAGAGGGGGACCUUCGGGCCUCUUGCCAUCAGAUGUGCCCAGAUGGGAUUAGCUAGUUGGUGAGGUAACGGCUCACCAAGGCGACGAUCCCUAGCUGGUCUGAGAGGAUGACCAGCCACACUGGAACUGAGACACGGUCCAGACUCCUACGGGAGGCAGCAGUGGGGAAUAUUGCACAAUGGGCGCAAGCCUGAUGCAGCCAUGCCGCGUGUAUGAAGAAGGCCUUCGGGUUGUAAAGUACUUUCAGCGGGGAGGAAGGUGUUGUGGUUAAUAACCACAGCAAUUGACGUUACCCGCAGAAGAAGCACCGGCUAACUCCGUGCCAGCAGCCGCGGUAAUACGGAGGGUGCAAGCGUUAAUCGGAAUUACUGGGCGUAAAGCGCACGCAGGCGGUCUGUCAAGUCGGAUGUGAAAUCCCCGGGCUCAACCUGGGAACUGCAUUCGAAACUGGCAGGCUUGAGUCUUGUAGAGGGGGGUAGAAUUCCAGGUGUAGCGGUGAAAUGCGUAGAGAUCUGGAGGAAUACCGGUGGCGAAGGCGGCCCCCUGGACAAAGACUGACGCUCAGGUGCGAAAGCGUGGGGAGCAAACAGGAUUAGAUACCCUGGUAGUCCACGCCGUAAACGAUGUCUACUUGGAGGUUGUGCCCUUGAGGCGUGGCUUCCGGAGCUAACGCGUUAAGUAGACCGCCUGGGGAGUACGGCCGCAAGGUUAAAACUCAAAUGAAUUGACGGGGGCCCGCACAAGCGGUGGAGCAUGUGGUUUAAUUCGAUGCAACGCGAAGAACCUUACCUGGUCUUGACAUCCACAGAAGAAUCCAGAGAUGGAUUUGUGCCUUCGGGAACUGUGAGACAGGUGCUGCAUGGCUGUCGUCAGCUCGUGUUGUGAAAUGUUGGGUUAAGUCCCGCAACGAGCGCAACCCUUAUCCUUUGUUGCCAGCGGUCCGGCCGGGAACUCAAAGGAGACUGCCAGUGAUAAACUGGAGGAAGGUGGGGAUGACGUCAAGUCAUCAUGGCCCUUACGACCAGGGCUACACACGUGCUACAAUGGCGCAUACAAAGAGAAGCGACCUCGCGAGAGCAAGCGGACCUCAUAAAGUGCGUCGUAGUCCGGAUUGGAGUCUGCAACUCGACUCCAUGAAGUCGGAAUCGCUAGUAAUCGUGGAUCAGAAUGCCACGGUGAAUACGUUCCCGGGCCUUGUACACACCGCCCGUCACACCAUGGGAGUGGGUUGCAAAAGAAGUAGGUAGCUUAACCUUCGGGAGGGCGCUUACCACUUUGUGAUUCAUGACUGGGGUGAAGUCGUAACAAGGUAACCGUAGGGGAACCUGCGGUUGGAUCACCUCCUUACCUUAAAGAA